UCUCUCUCCAAGCUCUCUCCGCUACACCACCAAUACUUUUUUCCCUGGCUGUGGUGUGUUUGUGCUUUAGCGAGUGUACAACGAAACCAGUUCUGUGCUGAUCCAGCGUGUGCUAUCCCAUACACAGAGCCAGGAGCAGCGUACCGCUUGCCAACAUCCUGCUUCCACUCUGCUGCCUUUUCUGCUUUCAUUUCCCACUGUCUGCUUUUCCACCAGACCUUUUCUUUCUUUAACCCUCUGCUCUCUUCCAAGAAUGAUCUAGGAAGAGGGGAAAGAAAUAAGAGAAAGGUGUCUGUGUGAAGGGGAGAUGAGGAGACAGAAAAGGAGAGAGAGAGGGGAGAGGACUAGAGAGAAGACUGGGGUUAGGCUGCAACACGAGAGGCAAAGCAACGAGGAGAGGGAGAAAGAAGAGAGCAACAAGGAUCGAGGGAUGAUCGAGGUGGAAUCGGGCAAAAACGCAGGAAAAGGGGGGAAAAAAUUGCCAGACUCAUCCGACCUCUGCUGGGUUUUCAGCGUUGCUUGUCUUUCCUCUUGUUUUUAAAAAGUGUCUCUGUCCAUGUGUGUACUUUAGAACCCUUUCCUUCCUCCCGCUCCCAUCGGAAGGUUUUCCUCCGUCCUUCCACGUUUCUCUCUCGCCCAAAUGAAAUGCAAUGAUUGCUUUUUUUUAUUGUAAAUUUGGAUAUUUUCGCUUGGAUUUUCCCAUUGAAACCUAUGUUGGAAAAGGUGAAACCUGAAAUUGGGG
rnacentral:lncRNA from 1 species